rnacentral:rRNA from 1 species
GAUGAACGCUAGCGGCAGGCUUAACACAUGCAAGUCGAGGGGCAGCGUAAUGAAGUAGCAAUACUGAUUUGACGGCGACCGGCGCACGGGUGCGUAACGCGUAUGUAACCUACCUUUUAACAGGGGGGAUAACACUGAGAAAUUGGUACUAAUACCCCCAUAAUACUUUAGAGGGCAUCCUCUGAGGUUGAAAGUUCCGGCGGUUAAAGAUGGACAUGCGUUGUAUUAGCUAGAUGGUGAGGUAACGGCUCACCAUGGCGACGAUACAUAGGGGGACUGAGAGGUUAACCCCCCANACUGGUACUGAGACACGGACCAGACUCCUACGGGAGGCAGCAGUGAGGAAUAUUGGUCAAUGGACGCAAGUCUGAGCCAGCCAUGCCGCGUGCAGGAUGACGGCUCUAUGAGUUGUAAACUGCUUUUGUACAAGGGUAAACCCCGUAGUGUA